GGUGCGUAGGCGGCUUUUUAAGUCAGUGGUGAAAUCCUGCCGCUUAACGGUAGAAUUGCCAUUGAUACUGAAGAGCUUGAGUUCAGUUGAGGUAAGCGGAAUGUGUAGUGUAGCGGUGAAAUGCUUAGAUAUUACACAGAACACCAAUUGCGAAGGCAGCUUACUAAACUGACACUGACGCUGAUGCACGAAAGCGUGGGGAGCGAACAGGAUUAGAUACCCUGGUAGUCCACGCCGUAAACGAUGUUCACUCGCUGUUUGCGAUACACAGCAAGCGGCCAAGCGAAAGCAUUAAGUGAACCACCUGGGGAGUACGAUCGCAAGGUUGAAACUCAAAGGAAUUGACGGGGGCCCGCACAAGCGGAGGAACAUGUGGUUUAAUUCGAUGAUACGCGAGGAACCUUACCUGGGCUUAAAUGUAGAACGACAGAUUGUGAAAGCAGUCCUUCUUCGGACGUUUUACAAGGUGCUGCAUGGUUGUCGUCAGCUCGUGCCGUGAGGUGUCGGGUUAAGUCCCAUAACGAGCGCAACCCUUAUCGUUAGUUGCCAGCGGGUCAAGCCGGGGACUCUAGCGAGACUGCCACCGUAAGGUGUGAGGAAGGUGGGGAUGACGUCAAAUCAGCACGGCCCUUAUGUCCAGGGCUACACACGUGUUACAAUGGCCGGUACAAAGGGCAGCUACUUCGCGAGAAGAUGCUAAUCUCGAAAGCCGGUCUCAGUUCGGAUCGAAGUCUGCAACCCGACUUCGUGAAGCUGGAUUCGCUAGUAAUCGCAUAUCAGCCAUGAUGCGGUGAAUACGUUCCCGGGCCUUGUACACACCGCCCGUCAAACAAUGGAAGCUGGGGGUACCUGAAGUCUGUAACCGAAAGGAG
rnacentral:rRNA from 1 species